UUUUUUUUUUUUUAUUCAACAACAACUAAUUGCACUUUCUGCUGUUAACAAUGUACUUCACUAGUCCAGCAUUCCAGUAAAGAGUCCUGUUUGUUAAUACCAGAAAUCCAGGGUUGUUUCUGGUAAGCAUCAUUAUAUUAAAUUAACAUUAGUUUUAAUUUAACAGCUAAUUUAUAAAAUUAUCAGCAAUGAAAUUAACAAGUAUAUAUCAAUGGUACUUAUUUGUUUUACAAUUUACUAUAUAUAUCAUCUAGCAAUAAUUUAUUUUUGGGUAUUGUUUCCGGAAAUUUUUCAUAUUUCCUCCGUAAACGGGUUAAUUGUUUUUCUAUCAAACAUCUUCCUGGUUUUGAAACAAAUAUUGUCACACCGGCCAUGACUUAAAAAAUAAAAAAAUAAACAGAUGUGAUAUAGCAUAUUCACAUUAUGCAACAGUAUGUUCUCGAACUUCAAUUUUGAACAGAUCCCAUUGAAGUCCUAUAUUAUCAACCGCACUUGGCCUUGACUUCCGUUUAAUA